rnacentral:lncRNA from 1 species
CUACCAUGCUGACCAUGAAGACCUAGGGAGGGAGUCCAGUAUCCACAGUACCUUUCAUAGAUGGAUGUCGGGUAAGUGUUUGCUGGUUGAUCCUCUGCUGAUGCCCUGCUCACCUCACAGAAGGCCUGACCGCACACCUACUAGUAUCAGCAAGAAAAACUCAAAAAGAGGAGACUCUUUAGGUUCCAUGGACACAUACAGGAGAAAAACCAGCAGAUGGAGGAGGAAAUACACCAUUUAUUUACAAUUCUUUUCACUUUAUCCACAAUUUCCCAUACAAACAUAAAAACUAAAAAAAUAAAAC